AGAGCGAACGCUGGCGGCAGGCCUAACACAUGCAAGUCGAGCGCCCCGCAAGGGGAGCGGCAGACGGGAGAGUAACACGUGGGAACGUACCCUUUGGUUCGGAACAACCCAGGGAAACUUGGGCUAAUACCGAAUAAGCCCUUACGGGGAAAGAUUUAUCGCCAAAGGAUCGGCCCGCGUCUGAUUAGCUAGUUGGUGAGGUAACGGCUCACCAAGGCGACGAUCAGUAGCUGGUCUGAGAGGAUGAUCAGCCUCACUGGGACUGAGACACGGCCCAGACUCCUACGGGAGGCAGCAGUGGGGAAUAUUGGACAAUGGGCGCAAGCCUGAUCCAGCCAUGCCGCGUGGGUGAUGAAGGCCCUAGGGUUGUAAAGCCCUUUGGCGGGGAAGAUAAUGACGGUACCCGCAGAAGAAGCCCGGCUAACUUCGCGCCAGCAGCCGC
rnacentral:rRNA from 1 species